GCGGGCGGCGUGGAUUAGGCAUGCAAGUCGAGCGGUCCUACUUAACGAACUGUUUGAAACUUAUGAGGUUCGCUUCGGUGAAUGGAUUAAGCGGAUGGCAGCUAGUUUUUUAGGAUAGCGGCAAACGGGUGAGUAACACGUGGGCAAUCUGCCCUUAGGCGAGGAAUAGCUUCGGGAAACCGGUGGUAAUACCUCGUACACUUAUUGCGCUUCGGCAAUAUAAGGAAAGUCGGGGAUCUUCGGACCUGGCGCCUGAGGAGGAGCCCGCGCGCUAUCAGCUUGUUGGUGAGGUAAUGGCUCACCAAGGCAACGACGGCUAGUAGGCAUUAGUGUGUGACCUGCCACAUCGGGACUGAGACACUGCCCGGACUCCUACGGGAGGCUGCAGUCGAGAAUAUUUCCCAAUGCACGAAAGUGUGAGGAUGCGACGCCGCGUGGAGGAUGAAGGCUUUCGAGUCGUAAACUCCUUUUAUAAGGGAAGAAAUGCUGUGUGUUAAUAGCAUGCAGUUUUGACGUUACCUUAUGAAUAAGCCACGGCUAACUCCGUGCCAGCAGCCGCGGUAAUACGGAGGUGGCAAGCGUUACUCGGAAUUACUGGGUGUAAAGGGUCCGCAGGCGGCUACGUCAGUGGGAGGUGAAAUCCUUCGGCUCAACCGAAGAACUGCCCCCCAUACUGCAUAGCUAGAGGAUAUGAGAGGAGAGUGGAACUGCUAGUGUAAGGGUGAAAUUUGUGGAUAUUAGCAGGAACGCCAAUGGUGAAGACAACUCUCUGGCAUAUUCCUGACGCUCAGGGACGAAAGCGUGGGGAGCAAACAGGAUUAGAUACCCUGGUAGUCCACGCUGUAAACGUUGAGCACUGGAUGUCUGGAUCUUUGAUCUGGGCGUCGAAGCUAACGCGUUAAGUGCUCCACCUGGGGACUACGGCCGCAAGGCUAAAACUCAAAGGAAUUGACGGGGGCCCGCACAAGCGGUGGAACAUGUGGUUUAAUUCGAUGCUACGCGAGGAACCUUACCUGGGCUUGACAUGCAAGAAGUAGAACCCUGAAAGGGGAACCACCGGUAUCCAAUCCGGAACUUGCACAGGUGCUGCAUGGUUGUCGUCAGCUCGUGUCGUGAGAUGUCGCCUUAAGUGGCUUAACGAGCGCAACCCUCAUUGUUAGUUGCUAGCUUACUCUUAGUAAGCGCACUCUAGCGAGACUGCCCGUGUUAAACGGGAGGAAGGUGGGGACGACGUCAAAUCAGCAUGGCCCUUAUGUCCAGGGCUACACACGUGUUACAAUGCCGGGUACAAAGGGAGGCUAAGCCGCGAGGUGGAGCAAAUCCCUAAAAGCCUGGCCCAGUUCGGAUUGCAGGCUGCAAUUUGCCUGCAUGAAGUUGGAAUCGCUAGUAAUGGCGCAUCAGCAACGGCGCCGUGAAUACGUUCCCGGGCCUUGUACACACCGCCCGUCAAGCGCCGAAAGUGAGGAGUACCCGAAGCCCUAACUAGUUUGAGGCCACGGUAAGCUUCAUGAUUGGUGCUAAGUCGUAACAAGGUA
rnacentral:rRNA from 1 species